rnacentral:lncRNA from 1 species
AGCAGGCUGGGGGGGGCAGCGGAAGGACUUCGCUUCUCCUCUAUGACCUGGGGGUGUGGAGCGAAGAGGGACGUGAGCUGGGUCGGGACGUGAGCUGGGGCGGGACGUGAGCUGGGUCACGCUUGGGAAUAGCACAGGGGAUUGACUGUCGGGAGCCGAGGUGCAGGCGGUUUACCAACAGGAGUCCUCGCCAGGACUGUCAGUGCCUGGCACUGACUCGUCUUCCUCCUACAACAGACUCAAGGGGGCAAGCCUUCACCAACAGAAGGCAACGGAGACUAGUUCCCUGAUAUUUCUGGAGGAAAAAGCAUAAGCUGUGCUACUUAAGUCCUGGAACUUUAAAGGGGACCAGCUGCCAAUGGGAUGGUUCCCAGCCCGACCCUGAAGCCAGCCUUCCUGCAAAGCCUCACAGCCUGGAGCCUUCUGAAUAUCUCAGAUACUCAUCUGGAGGCUACAGACAUGGUUGUGUGAAGCUGACAGAUAGGAUCAUCUGUUUGAAUGCCUCUGGACACCGUGGGAAGACAAAAAAGAUAACUAUUAAAGAAUAUCAAGAGAUUUUGCUCUUGGAGACAUUCAGAUGCAUGACUAUGGAUCAACUUCUCAGGAUACAAGAAGAGUGUCAGGAAGCUGGAGCUUUUUCAGGAACACUGGGAAACCCAGCCAAGGUUUAUCUCUCCACAAUUACAAAUGACUAAUAGUAGCAAUGAAAGCAAGACUAAGUUUUAAAAGACUGAGAUGAUGCACAGUGUAUUCUCUGAUCACAAUAGAAUUGAAUCAGAAACCAAACAAAAAGAUAGGUGGAAAAUCCCUAAGUAUUUGCCAACGAAAUAACACAUGUCAGAAUAAUUUAUGGGCCAAAGAAGAAAUUUCCAGAUAAGUUAGAUAAUAAUUUAAAUUGAAUUAAAUAAAAACCAGCAUUUCAAAA